rnacentral:rRNA from 1 species
ACAGGAUUAGAUACCCUGGUAGUCCACGCAGUAAACGAUGAAUGCUGGUUGUCCGGGUCGAAUGAGACCUGGGCGGCGAAGCGAAAGCGAUAAGCAUUCCACCUGGGGAGUACGCCGGCAACGGUGAAACUCAAAGGAAUUGACGGGGGCCCGCACAAGCGGAGGAACAUGUGGUUUAAUUCGAUGAUACGCGAGGAACCUUACCCGGGCUCAAACGGGAGUGGAAUGGACCAGAGACGGUUCAGCCUACGGGCCGCUUCCGAGGUGCUGCAUGGUUGUCGUCAGCUCGUGCCGUGAGGUGUCGGCUUAAGUGCCAUAACGAGCGCAACCCCCGCCGGCAGUUGCUAACGGGCAAUGCCGAGGACUCUGCCGGGACUGCCGCCGCAAGGCGUGAGGAAGGCGGGGAUGACGUCAAAUCAGCACGGCCCUUACGUCCGGGGCGACACACGUGUUACAAUGGGCGGUACAGCGGGAAGCCAGGCGGCGACGCCGAGCGGAACCCGAAAGCCGUUCUCAGUUCGGAUCGGAGUCUGCAACCCGACUCCGUGAAGCUGGAUUCGCUAGUAAUC